rnacentral:rRNA from 1 species
CAGCCGCCGCGGUAAUACGAAGGGUGCAAGCGUUACUCGGAAUUACUGGGCGUAAAGCGUGCGUAGGUGGUGGUUUAAGUCCGUUGUGAAAGCCCUGGGCUCAACCUGGGAAUUGCAGUGGAUACUGGCUCGCUAGAGUGUGUCAGAGGAUGGUGGAAUUCCCGGUGUAGCGGUGAAAUGCGUAGAGAUCGGGAGGAACAUCAGUGGCGAAGGCGGCCAUCUGGGACAACACUGACGCUGAGGCACGAAAGCGUGGGGAGCAAACAGGAUUAGAUACCCGCGUAGUCCCUGUCUCUUAUAC